CCUCUCGGCCGCAUCUCUCCCUUUCUCCCCCGACCUCACUCUCUCUUUUCCUUCCCUCUGCAAACGCCGGAAACACAAUCUCCGGCCAUCACCUCAUGUCACCGCCUCCUCCAAUCGAUCCAGAACCUAAACCCGAUCAAAGCCCACUCGGAAUCGACAACAUGCAAUGACUCCAGCCUCCACCUGCAAUCCUCCCGAACCGCGACGCCACUGUCGCCACCUCCCUUCGGAUUCCGGCUACCGCCUCGCCACGCCACCACCACCGCUCAACUCAGUAGACUACGGAGAUCAAAACCCUGAUGGCAGCUACCCCAACCAACGCCGGAGAAUCGCCGUACACGCCACCACCGAUGGCAUCGAGCUCUGCAUGCCUUCGUUCUUCAAUCUCCAGUCCGAAACGAGCCAAACCACCACCAUACAUGGAGUCAGCAUCUCUCCCCUUGACCAAAACCUGAUAACCCCGACCUCUAACUCUGACCAGAGCCACCGCACACACUACACGCGCCGGCGGCAGCACGUGAGCCACUGCAGCUCCGCUGCUCGUGUUGCCAUACUCCCAGGUCGUCACGAUUAGGUAAUUUCGUCACCCUGUUCAGUGUUGAGGCCUCUGUUUUAAUUUGGAAAGGAUUGGGUUUCUAACUUAGGUUUUCUGGAUUGGAGUUUGGAACCUCAAGCUCGGAGGUGAAUGAAGAAAACUGGAGCUCGACAUAUAUGGAGUCUGGAAGGGGUUGUGGGCUUCUGCGUUUUUGGAGUGAUGGAGAAGAGAGAGAUUGUUGGUUCAGUCGAAUUGAUAUCGGAGAUAGGGAUUUGAGAAGGGAGUGGUGAUAGAGCAGCCGGUUCACAGCAGCAUAAAUGGGUUAUCCUUGUUGGAGAAGAAGAAUGGACCCGAGCGGGUGCACUUGGAUUUGGAUAAAGGAUCGAAAGUCGGGAACGAACCCGAAUGUGGGCAAGCACUCCAAUUCCAGUGUGCAGGUUUCGAGCAUGUGGUCGGGAAGCGUACAUGGGAGGCACAUGGCACGGCUUGGCGCAUUUCUCUUUAGUUUUAUCAAAAGAAGGUUUUGGUCCUUAACCGGAUUUUGUAGUAGCUUGUUUAUUUACUUUUUAUUUAUUUCCUACUCGUUUACAAAAAUUCCGGGAGACCCGUAACCCUGGGGCGCGUCUCCCAUACUUUUAGUUACUUAGUGAUCUGUUUUAUUUUCCAAAUUGGGCUCCGAUCGCAAGCCCAAAACUCUUAGCCCAUUUCGAAUUCCGCUUUUGA